rnacentral:misc_RNA from 1 species
GACAAGAUCAAGUUUGAUAAUAUUGUAGUAGCUUGUGGCAGUGGGGGUACAGUCGCUGGUUUAUCAUUGGGAUCAUGGUUGAGUACAUUGAAGGCAAAAAUUCGUGCAUUCUCUGUUUGUGAUGACCCUGAUUACUUCUACGAGUUUGUUCAAGGUUUACUUGAUGGGCUUCAUGCCGGUGUUAACUCAGGCGAUAUAGUUGAAAUCCAUAAUG